rnacentral:rRNA from 1 species
GACGAACGCUGGCGGCGUGCUUAACACAUGCAAGUCGAGCGGUAAGGCCCUUUCGGGGGUACACGAGCGGCGAACGGGUGAGUAACACGUGGGUGACCUGCCCUCAGCUCUGGGAUAAGCCUGGGAAACCGGGUCUAAUACCGGAUAUGACUCCAUGACGCAUGUUGUGGGGUGGAAAGCCUUGUGCGGCUGAGGAUGGGCCCGCGGCCUAUCAGCUUGUUGGUGGGGUGANGGCCUACCAAGGCGACGACGGGUAGCCGGCCUGAGAGGGCGACCGGCCACACUGGGACUGAGACACGGCCCAGAUUCCUACGGGAGGCAGCAGUGGGGAAUCUUGCGCAAUGGGCGAAAGCCUGACGCAGCGACGCCGCGUGAGGGAUGACGGCCUGGU